CACAUUUUCACAUGGCGUGUCUCACUCUCGAGUGCAUUGCUCAGCCAAGUUCAGGCCAGGAGAAAGGCGUUGAGCCCAGGUGAAACUGAAAGCCAUGAGCCAAAGUGUGAAAGUAUCUGCAGCAAUUCGAAAUGAUAGCGCACACUAUUCAGUGGACUAGCUCAAAAGGUGAAAAAGAGAAAAGUGAAUUGAACAUUUGAAAUAUUUACAACAGAAAACAAAUAAUAAUAAUGUAAAUUUAAUCAAAGAAUAUCUAUAAUAAUUAUGAGGUAUAUGAGACAUUUUAAAUGUCUGAUUUGAAUAACAUUUUAUAUUAGCAUUCUCAUAACAUCUAUAUAAAAUAUAUUAUUUAAUUGUAUUAGCACAAUUAAAACUCAAACAAAUAUUAAGCAAACUCAGAAUAUAAUUUUCACAGAUAUCUAAUUUCAAUGACGUGCGAAGUGAACUUUGUUUGUGGCUUUUGCAUUUGCUUACGAAUCGAAGUGCGAACAACAAAGGAAAAACUGAUUGUUUGGGAUCGAUGCCGCAAUGAGGCGUAUGCGUAUUUUAUUACGGGCAAUUUGGCAUUCCAGCCACGCGCAUUUGGCUUUGUUUUCAGCGCAUAUUCAUAUUGUAAUUCAGGCAAUUGCGAGCCCAGCACAUCAGCAUUCUUGCAUUUUCCCAUUUCGUAUGCAAAUUUAGCUCACGAUAAUUUCAAACAAUAUACCCUGUACCCAUGCCCAAUGGGUAAGCUGAGUAUUAUAAAGUUGUGCAAAUAUACAGACAUAUAACUAGCA
rnacentral:sRNA from 13 species